GGUCGAGUCGGCCUGCGCGGAAGAUGUAACGGGGCUAAACCAUGCACCGAAGCUGCGGCAGCGAACGUAUCACCCAAGACAACUUUACGGAGUUGACGAUUGACGGAGCGAAGCGACGUCAAAGCGUAUACAAAGUCGAGUCGGUUUAAGGAUACGUUCGUUGGGUAGGGGAGCGUUCUGUAAGCCCGUGAAGGUGGCCUGUGAGGGUUGCUGGAGGUAUCA
rnacentral:rRNA from 1 species